rnacentral:rRNA from 1 species
GACGAACGCUGGCGGCGUGCUUAACACAUGCAAGUCGAACGGAAAGGCCCUGCUUUUGUGGGGUGCUCGAGUGGCGAACGGGUGAGUAACACGUGGGUAACCUGCCCUUGACUUUGGGAUAACUUCAGGAAACUGGGGCUAAUACCGGAUAGGAGCUCCUGCUGCAUGGUGGGGGUUGGAAAGUUUCGGCGGUUGGGGAUGGACUCGCGGCUUAUCAGCUUGUUGGUGGGGUAGUGGCUUACCAAGGCUUUGACGGGUAGCCGGCCUGAGAGGGUGACCGGCCACAUUGGGACUGAGAUACGGCCCAGACUCCUACGGGAGGCAGCAGUGGGGAAUAUUGCAGAAUGGGCGGAAGCCUGAUGCAGCAACGCCGCGUGCGGGAUGACGGCCUUCGGGUUGUAAACCGCUUUCGCCUGUGACGAAGCGUGAGUGACGGUAAUGGGUAAAGAAGCACCGGCUAACUACGUG